rnacentral:rRNA from 1 species
UGGGGAAUAUUGGACAAUGGGGGAAACCCUGAUCCAGCAAUGCCGCGUGUGUGAAGAAGGCCUUCGGGUUGUAAAGCACUUUAGGUGGGGAAGAAGUUACGUAGUUUAAGAGAUAACGUAAUUGACUGUACCCACAGAAUAAGCACCGGCUAACUCUGUGCCAGCAGCCGCGGUAAUACAGAGGGUGCAAGCGUUAAUCGGAGUUACUGGGCGUAAAGGGCGCGUAGGCGGUGAGUUAAGAGAGUUGUGAAAACCCUGGGCUUAACCUAGGAAUGGCAACUCAGACUGGCUCGCUGGAGUGCAGUAGAGGGUAGUAGAAUUUCCGGUGUAGCGGUGAAAUGCGUAGAGAUCGGAAGGAAUACCAGUGGCGAAGGCGGCUACCUGGACUGACACUGACGCUGAGGCGCGAGAGCGUGGGGAGCAAACAGGAUUAGAUACCCCCGUAGUCC